GGCCUCACCUCACCGGAAGUCUCUACCGGAAACAUCGCUAUUGUGCCUCUCCUUUUUUUUGUGUGUGUGUCUCUAUGGUAGUAACUGUCUUAUGUACGCCGGGCGCCGUUCGCGGAAGAAAUCCUUUCCGUGUGGGGGACAAUGGAGGCUGCGGAAGGCGUUGAGGUACGAGACCGCCGAAAGACUGACCAUGAACCGGACCGGCUGGCAGCCGAGGUGACCGGAACGACGGGGAACAUCUCCUGCGGGCCCCCUCUCUCCGGGACGUCCUACUGGCUGGACUUCUGGCUGAUGAUCCUCUUCGACUUCGUGCUCUUCGUCUUCGUUUAUCUGCUACCUUGAAGCGGCUGUAGCGAGGGACAACCAGACUGCCUUCAAGAAAAACCAGCUCCUUUAGCUGCUUUUGCUUCACAACCAAAAAUAAAGAACACUGGAAAACUGUUACAUCAGAAAUCUCAAAAACAACUGCUCUUUCUAUAUUUGAAUUGUUGACAUAGUUUUGCUGAGCAAUUAGAUAUGGUGAACUUGCUCUAUGAUGACCUGUCAUGUUUCACAUUAUUCUUCAAUGUACAAAUUCUGCCUUACGGCAAAUAUAACUAAUUGAAGUGUCACAACACUUUCAAUUAAGUUUGCAGUUGUCUAUUUUCAGCAAUCGACUCUUAUCGCCAUCCAAGUGGACGAGACAAAUAUCUCUGUAACAAUAAUGUAUGAUGAACUCUUAGCAUAAAAUGAGAAAAUGUAACCUGAUCAAUUCUGAGGGUUGUUUUAACUGAUUUUAUGUAAAGAAGUUGCAUAUAUUCUUCUCAAUAUGCAUUUGCCAUGUUUGAAGUUUUAAAGUACUUCGUGUUCAGCUUUGUGCCUUCAGAAGCAAUGUGUGCUUGGACUGUGCGGAUGAUAUUUUAUGAUCCUUAUGAUAUAUAAACACACCAACCAUUUGAAUAAAUUUUACUCUGUCUAAUGUGGUCCUGAUCCCCAUUAUACUUUGGAUUUGCCCUUUUGACGUUUCAUGUUCUAAAAGUAGAUUGAAAAGAAAGUCUGCAGACAUUCCUGUUAAUUUUCAUAAUUUAAAUGUUUUUCUUUUGAUUGGUUUUGUGCUCUACUCUCAAUAAUGUAUAAACUGAAUAUUUAUUACAUUUAUAUUCUAGAGUAAAUGGAUUCACCCUAUUUUUGUCAGGCUGGGACAAGGGGCUUUCUUUAAACAUUGAAUUAAUUCCAUUGAGCUUAUAAAUUUGUUGUGCUGAGCACAAGAUCUGAAGCAUUGGUGGAGGUAGGGUGAAGUUCUAAUGAGAUUGAAUUUGGGUUUAUUUUCUUUGAGAAAUUUGAGAGGGGGUUAUAUUUAAAGUAAAUUCAGUAUUGCUGUUCAACCUAUAUAUGUGUCAAUUCCUCCACAAGAAUUGACUAUAGCCAAGCAAUAAAAAAGGAAUGAAUCAAACAUA